rnacentral:rRNA from 1 species
UACGGAGGGGGCGAGCGUUAUUCGGAAUUAUUGGGCGUAAAGGGCGCGUAGGCGGCCCGGUAAGUCAAAGGUGAAAUCCCUCGGCUCAACUGAGGAACUGCCUUUGAAACUGUCGGGCUUGAGGCCGGGAGGGGGUAGCGGAAUUCCCAGUGUAGCGGUGAAAUGCGCAGAUAUCGGGAGGAACACCUAUGGCGAAGGCAGCUCGCUGGGACGUUACUGACGCUGAGACGCGAAAGCGUGGGGAGCAAACAGG